AUGAAGGAUUAAAAAUUAAUAAUAAGCCGCCUAGCUACCCAAAAAGAAGAGGUAGGGUCUGUGAGAACAUGAACUUUUCGCCCCUCCCUUGCUGUACAAUGGUUCCCGGAACAUUCUUGCAUGAAAGGUUUCCUGGAACAGCCACAAUGACCCAUAGCCUCCGGCCACAAUGGUCCAAUGGCCCUGUAAAAUGUCACUACCCCUAAUCACAAUGUCACAAAGUCCUAAAUUGUAUGGGCAGUUUAUGGUUUUGGAAUUCCCCUCCUCCCUCCCUCUUGAUCCCCCUGGUUUGUGGUUUUUUCCUUUAUAAGCUCUGUGAAAAUUCAGGUCGGGGUCGAACUCCUCUACUCCUUGUGUGGCGUAUGAGUCUCGACCCCAGCAUGCUGGCCUGAGCUCUCGUUUCAUCUCGCUUAUAAUAAAUCUUCCUCGUGUGAUUGCAGC
rnacentral:lncRNA from 1 species